CCUACGGGAGGCUGCAGUGAGGAAUAUUGGUCAAUGGGCUUACGCCUGAACCAGCCAAGUCGCGUGAGGGAAGACUGCCCUAUGGGUUGUAAACUUCUUUUAUAAAGGAAUAAAACGAGGCACGUGUGCCUUUUUGCAUGUACUUUAUGAAUAAGGAUCGGCUAACUCCGUGCCAGCAGCCGCGGUAAUACGGAGGAUCCGAGCGUUAUCCGGAUUUAUUGGGUUUAAAGGGAGCGUAGAUGGUUUGUUAAGUCAGUUGUGAAAGUUUGCGGCUCAACCGUAAAAUUGCAAUUGAUACUGGCAGUCUUGAGUACAGUUGAGGUAGUCGGAAUUCGUGGUGUAGCGGUGAAAUGCUUAGAUAUCACGAAGAACCCCGAUUGCGAAGGCAGCUUACUAAACUGUGACUGACAUUGAUGCUCGAAAGUGUGGGUAUCAAACAGGAUUAGAUACCCUAGUAGUC
rnacentral:rRNA from 1 species